GGGGAUGUUAUGCUUCGUCAAAAAGCGUAUCGCAUUGGAUUCGAGGUUGAGGUUGACCACAAACUCAAAAAACUGGUCAAAAACAAUAAGUGCAAACUUAUUUAACGCUAAACCAGCGUUUGCUGUAGCUUAAAACCUUCAGCCAUCGCCUAGUUCCCGCCCGAAGGGACUAUGUGCGGUGCCAACCUUUCGGGCCGCUCUUUCAAGUAAAGCGAACUUGAAAGCUAAGACAAUCGCUAAAAGUUUAACCUUUUUCGCCGUUCUUUAACGGUUAGACUUAAACCAAGAACGGCUAGGCUUCGUAGCCAUCCAGGCCAGAAACUUUUUGCACGCGGGUUCAACUCCCGCCAUCUCCACAU
rnacentral:tmRNA from 1 species